ACUAUCCCUAGAGGCAUGGCAGGCGCAGCUGCUGUGUCACGUGCGCAUCAGUAGGUGGCAGAGAGGAGAGAGGCUGUGUCUACACUCAGUGUUCUGACCUGUGAACAUCUGAAUGAUUAGUAGCCUAAAUU